GUAGUUUGAUCGUGGCUACAGAACGAACGCUGGCGGCAGGCUUAACACAUGCAAGUCGAACGCCCCGCAAGGGAGUGGCAGACGGUGAGUAACGCGUGGGAACCUACCUUUCGGUACGGAAUAACUCGGGGAAACUCGGUGCUAAUACCGUAUAUUCCGGUAACGGGAAAGAUUUAUCGCCGAAAGACGGGCCCGCGUUAGAUUAGCUAGUUGGUGGGGUAAUGGCCUACAAGGCGACGAUCUAUAGCUGGUCUGAGAGGAUGAUCAGCCACACUGGGACUGAGACACGGCCCAGACUCCUACGGGAGGCAGCAGUGGGGAAUCUUGGACAAUGGGGGAAACCCUGAUCCAGCCAUGCCGCGUGAGUGAUGACGGCCUUAGGGUUGUAAAGCUCUUUCACGCAUGACGAUGAUGACGGUAAUGCGAGAAGAA
rnacentral:rRNA from 1 species